AAGCCGCUGCAGGGAGACAUAAAGAACCGCAAACCGCAGCUCCAACCCCCGCGGUGUGUGUCGUGGACUCGUCUGCGGGAGAAGCGGUCGGGUCUCGGCGCUGCGUGGUCGUGUCGUUGACGGGACUCACCUCUGAGAGUGAAGUGGUACAGUCCCGUUACUUCUCUCUGGAGCCUCCUGUGUUUGCAGCAGCUGCAGUUUUUGCGCACGACGAGAUGAGCAACAUGCGGAUAAAGUGCACUUUACUCUAACACGGACACUAGGAUGAACUUGUACCAGCUGGCUGUUUUACUGGGAGCUUCAUUGUGUGUGUGUUAUGGUGUCCAUGUCACAGUGCGGGAGAAGAAGCGGUUUGCGAUGCUCUUCCAGUCCGUGGUCCUCCCAUGUCAGUACCAAUCGGCCUCCACCCAGGCCCCGGUGGUGCAGUGGUGGUACAAGUCCUACUGUCGAGACCGCACACGAGACUCCUUCAGCCUGCCAGAGAGUCUGGGCGUGCAGGUCUCCGAUCUCGGAGCCACUUCCCACCUGGAGUGCUCCGACAGCAGCCGCACAGUUCGGGUCGUGGCCUCGGCGCAGGGAGCCUCCAUGACGCUGGCUGAGCACUACAAGGGCAGAGACAUGUCCAUCAUAAACAAAGCAGACCUGCGGAUCGGAGAGCUGCAGUGGGGCGACAGUGGAGUGUACUUCUGUAAAGUCAUUAUUGCUGACGAUCUGGAAGGGAAGAAUGAGGGUCAGCUGGAGUUACUUGUGCUUGGCAGGACAGGUGAGCGGGACGAUCUCCUACCUGAGUUUGAUGUGGAGUUUAUGCCAGAGUGGGCGUUUGUGGGAUCUGUUGUCCUGGGCAGCGUCUUGUUCCUGUUGUUGAUGGGGAUCUGCUGGUGCCAGUGUUGUCCACACUCCUGCUGCUGCUACGUCCGCUGCUGCUGCUGUCCUGACACCUGCUGCUGUCCAAGACACCUGUAUGAGGCAGGGAAGAUGGCGAAGAGUGGACAACAGGCCCAGGUACCUGUGUAUCCCUACUACAUCCCUGGUGUCCCUACUGUGGUCCCUCUUGCCCCGUCAUCCCACAUGGACACAAAAAUCACUUCAAUCCCUUCAGUGGAGAAUAACCUGGCUGCAGCCACUAGCCUAUCAGAACUGAGCUCUCUGCACGAGGGCGGGACAACGGACUUCAGACACACCUAUCAGACGGUCCAGAUGAAGGCGCUCCCACCCAUCGCAGAUCUCGAUGACCACCCAGCAGUGAGGGCAGCUCCACCUUCACAGAGACACAGGCCCAGACGGGACAGAGGACACCUCUCAGAUGAUGAACUAGACCGAAGGUGGAACCCUCGCUCAGAGCACCUGAAGAGAAAGACGCUGGGCAGAAGAGGACGCACCGGCUCCCUGGACGAGCUGGAGGAAUUUGCUCGCUCUUACGACUCCAGCGGUCGACGGGCUGAGCCUCCAUACCGCACGUAUGAUCGGGAUUACAGCCCGCCCAGGCGUUUCUACAAAAAUGAAGAUGAUGGCUGGGGGCGCAGGAGCCCCUCGCCAUUACCCCAAAAGAGAAGGGACACAUGGGACAGCGAUCGUCCGGCUCGGCCUCCUCAGAGCCGAGGAUACGACGACGCCUUCCUCAACGGCGUGCUAGAGAGCAAGGCGAGGGGGCGGGGAGCAGAGAGAGGUGCUGGGAGGAUGGACGAGGACAGUGACACUCCCUCCAAAGGCAGCUCCAGAGGAAAAGGCAGCGAUAGUUACUACAGCCGGUCGCCUAGCAACCGUCCAGAAGAGGAUGACCCUUUGCCUCCGUACUCUGAGUGGGAGGCCGAGCGGUACCGCAGGGCUGAUCACACCACAGACCGGUACCGCACUGCAGAACCUCCCAGGUCAGACAGAUACAGAACCACUGAUCAAGCCAUGAGGCCUUUCUCCUACACCCGCCCCCCCAAGGGAACGUCCCACACACUACAGGGGGGCAGAGAGGAGAGGAGCCGAAACCUGGUGAGUUACUUGUAGCAGGAACAAGGACUUCCUUCCUCUUCAGCUCCUCAGGAAUGGAGCCGCUGAAUAUUGUAAAUAGUUGCAGGACACAACCGGUGAUAUUCUAUAGUUUUCUUAUUGUCAAAAAGUUCUGAGAAACAUCAUUUGUUUUUGUUGGCAGUAAGAACAAAAGAGAACAGCACCAGUGCUUUAACAUUUCAAAAUGUUUCACAGUAUUUUGUACAUAAUCUGUCUCUUGUGCAAUGUACAUGCGAGUUACAUGGUCUUAACACUGAAUCUGACUUUUUUUAUAGGUAGCUGUAACAUAUGUCUUUAAAAAUGAGGGAACUGAAUGAGAAACUGAAAUGAUCACAUUACAUUUGAACUUGUAUAAUCUGUUACUGUUAAAAACAGUCACGCGUGGAAUCAGUGAUUCAGUCUUUAUUAACCAGGCUUGAGCUGCAUGACUUCUAUAAACUGUAUUAAAUCUUUGUUACCUCAGACAUCAGGCUGGACUAACCUCGCAUGAGCAUGAAUGCAAAGCCUCUAAUCGUGUGGCUCUUGGUGUCUUCCUUAACAGAGCACCGCACCGAGCAGGGACUCACUCAUAGUGUGAGGAGGUUUCCCAGCCUCCAUCUGCACAGCACUGCCAGUCCGUUCAUUUAAACCGUCCUGUUGCUACGCAGGAGGGGAUAACUGUUCCGCCACCCGCCACAUGAAGCCUGACUCCUGAUGUAACUGCACUGAAAAACAACAACAUAAAUGGAUGAAAAAUGUGCACGAAGCAGCAUGUGCAGACGUUUCUGUUCGUACUGGACAUUUUUACUCAAAUGCAUGAGUUACACCAGUGUAUUCUGCAUGUGUGGCAUAUCGACGGUAUGUAUGUGGUGUGUGCAGCAGUUUUAUUUGAGUUUUGUGACUGGAUUGACUUCACACCAGUGCCAAGAUGUGUUUUUUAUUAUUAUUCUCUGCCAAUGGUCUUUUGUAAACCAAGCAGAGCACCAUAGUCUUAUUGUUUUCCUACAGUCUUCAUACUCAGUAUACUGCACCUCAGGUUCACUGUGUAUUUGUGUGGUCGUCUGUUGUUUAUAUUGUACUGUAUAUUAGUACUGUACCUUGAAUUUGUCUGCAGAUUCGAAUUGCACUGCUUAAAUAAAUGCUUUUUAAAUAAAGAAAACUUUAUAAAA